rnacentral:rRNA from 1 species
CCUACGGGAGGCUGCAGUGGGGAAUAUUGCGCAAUGGGCGAAAGCCUGACGCAGCGACGCCGCGUGAGGGAUGAAGGUCUUCGGGUUGUAAACUUCUUUUCUCAGGGACGAAGAAAGUGACGGUACCUGAGGAAUAAGCCACGGCUAACUACGUGCCAGCAGCCGCGGUAAUACGUAGGUGGCAAGCGUUAUCCGGAUUUACUGGGUGUAAAGGGCGUGUAGGCGGGACUGCAAGUCAGAUGUGAAAACCACGGGCUCAACCUGUGGCCUGCAUUUGAAACUGUAGUUCUUGAGUACUGGAGAGGCAGACGGAAUUCCUAGUGUAGCGGUGAAACGCGUAGAUAUUAGGAGGAACACCAGUGGCGAAGGCGGUCUGCUGGACAGCAACUGACGCUGAGGCGCGAAAGCGUGGGGAGCAAACAGGAUUGGAUACCCGAGUAGUC